rnacentral:rRNA from 1 species
UACGUAGGUGGCAAGCGUUAUCCGGAUUUAUUGGGCGUAAAGGGAACGCAGGCGGUCUUUUAAGUCUGGUGUAAAAGGCAGUGGCUCAACCAUUGUAUGCAUUGGAAACUGGUAGACUUGAGUGCAGGAGAGGAGAGUGGAAUUCCAUGUGUAGCGGUGAAAUGCAUAGAUAUAUGGAGGAACACCGGUGGCGAAAGCGGCUCUCUGGCCUGUAACUGACACUGAGGCUCGAAAGCGUGGGGAGCAAACAGG